UACGUAGGGUGCGAGCGUUGUCCGGAAUUAUUGGGCGUAAAGGGCUCGUAGGCGGUUUGUCGCGUCGGGAGUGAAAACACCGGGCUUAACUCGGAGACGCCACUCGAUACUGCCAUGACUCGAGUCCGGUAGGGGAGUGCGGAAUUCCUGGUGUAGCGGUGAAAUGCGCAGAUAUCAGGAGGAACACCGGUGGCGAAGGCGGCACUCUGGGCCGGUACUGACGCUGAGGAGCGAAAGCGUGGGGAGCGAACAGG
rnacentral:rRNA from 1 species